UCCAGGGUAGCCUUGUGGACAUGGCAUCUGUCCGGUAAGCGGAAAACUGGGUACAAUUCCCAUCCCUGGAC
rnacentral:tRNA from 1 species